GAUGAACGCUGGCAGCGUGGAUAAGGCAUGCAAGUCGAACGAACAAAAUUGGGGCUUGCUCCAAUUUUAGUGAGUGGCAAACGGGUGAGUAACACGUGGGAAUCUACCUAUCAGUACGGAAUAACAUUUGGAAACAGAUGCUAAUACCGUAUAUUCUCCAAGGAGGAAAGAUUUAUCGCUGAUAGAUGAGCCCGCGUAAGAUUAGGUAGUUGGUAGGGUAAUGGCCUACCAAGCCGACGAUCUUUAGCUGGUCUGAGAGGAUGAUCAGCCACACUGGGACUGAGAAACGGCCCAGACUCCUACGGGAGGCAGCAGUGGGGAAUAUUGGACAAUGGGCGAAAGCCUGAUCCAGCAAUACCGCGUGAAUGAUGAAGGCCUUAGGGUUGUAAAGUUCUUUUAGUUGGAAAGAUAAUGACGGUACCAACAGAAUAAGCACCGGCUAACUACGUGCCAGCAGCCGCCGUAA
rnacentral:rRNA from 1 species